rnacentral:rRNA from 1 species
UUACACAUGCAAGUCGAGGGGAAACGACAUCGAAAGCUUGCUUUUGAUGGGCGUCGACCGGCGCACGGGUGAGCAACGCGUAUCCAACCUGCCCACCACUUGGGGAUAACCUUGCGAAAGUAAGACUAAUACCCAAUGAUAUCUCUAGAAGGCAUCUGAAAGAGAUUAAAGAUUUAUCGGUGAUGGAUGGGAAUGCGUCUGAUUAGCUUGUUGGCGGGGUAACGGCCCACCAAGGCGACGAUCAGUAGGGGUUCUGAGAGGAAGGUCCCCCACAUUGGAACUGAGACACGGUCCAAACUCCUACGGGAGGCAGCAGUGAGGAAUAUUGGUCAAUGGACGAGAGUCUGAACCAGCCAAGUAGCGUGCAGGAUGACGGCCCUAUGGGUUGUAAACUGCUUUUAUAAGGGAAUAAAGUGAGUCUCGUGAGGCUUUUUGCAUGUACCUUAUGAAUAAGGACCGGCUAAUUCCGUGCCAGCAGCCGCGGUAAUACGGAAGGUCCGGGCGUUAUCCGGAUUUAUUGGGUUUAAAGGGAGCGUAGGCCGGAGAUUAAGCGUGUUGUGAAAUGUAGACGCUCAACGUCUGCACUGCAGCGCGAACUGGUUUCCUUGAGUACGCACAAAGUGGGCGGAAUUCGUGGUGUAGCGGUGAAAUGCUUAGAUAUCACGAAGAACUCCGAUUGCGAAGGCAGCUCACUGGAGCGCAACUGACGCUGAAGCUCGAAAGUGCGGGUAUCGAACAGGAUUAGAUACCCUGGUAGUCCGCACGGUAAACGAUGGAUGCCCGCUGUUGGUCUGAAUAGGUCAGCGGCCAAGCGAAAGCAUUAAGCAUCCCACCUGGGGAGUACGCCGGCAACGGUGAAACUCAAAGGAAUUGACGGGGGCCCGCACAAGCGGAGGAACAUGUGGUUUAAUUCGAUGAUACGCGAGGAACCUUACCCGG